CUGCUGUGAUGACUUUCUUAGGACACCUUUGGAUUAACCAUGAAAAUGAUAACAUUCUGAGCAGC
rnacentral:snoRNA from 15 species